rnacentral:rRNA from 1 species
AUGCUUCGUGGCUUCCAUCUCGAGGAGGAUGCCGAAGAUGAUAUUGUAUGGAAGCACACCGCUAGCGGACAAUACACGGCCGAGUCGGCAUACAAAGCGCAAUUCCUUGGCACAAUCAAAUCCCCUAUGGAGCACACUGUGUGGAGGGCUUGGGCUCCCCCCAAAGUCAAGUUCUUCGCUUGGCUGGCUAUUCACACUAGUGCAGAACCGGGCAAUAGCACCGAUUCGUAA